rnacentral:rRNA from 1 species
GAUGAACGCUGGCGUCGUGCCUAAUACAUGCAAGUCGAGCGAACGGACGAGAAGCUUGCUUUUCUGAUGUUAGCGGCGGACGGGUGAGUAACACGUGGAUAACCUACCUAUAAGACUGGGAUAACUUCGGGAAUCCGGAGCUAAUACCGGAUAAUAUUUUGAACCGCAUGGUUCAAAAGUGAAAGACGGUCUUGCUGUCACUUAUAGAUGGAUCCGCGCUGCAUUAGCUAGUUGGUAAGGUAACGGCUUACCAAGGCAACGAUGCAUAGCCGACCUGAGAGGGUGAUCGGCCACACUGGAACUGAGACACGGUCCAGACUCCUACGGGAGGCAGCAGUAGGGAAUCUUCCGCAAUGGGCGAAAGCCUGACGGAGCAACGCCGCGUGAGUGAUGAAGGUCUUCGGAUCGUAAAACUCUGUUAUUAGGGAAGAACAUAUGUGUAAGUAACUGUGCACAUCUUGACGGUACCUAAUCAGAAAGCCACGGCUAACUACGUG